AGCACCACAACAGGUGGAGCCUGCGGUUUAAUCGGACUCAACGCCGGGAAACUCACCAGAUAAGACAGCUGAAUGAUAGUCGGGCUGAAGACUCUACUUGACUAGCUGAGAGGAGGUGCAUGGCCGUCGUCAGUUCGUACUGUGAAGCAUCCUGUUAAGUCAGGCAACGAGCGAGACCCACGCCAACAGUUGCCAGCUCGUCCUCCGGGAUGGUGGGGACACUGUUGGGACCGCCUCUGCUAAAGAGGAGGAAGGAAUGGGCAACGGUAGGUCAGCAUGCCCCGAAUUAUCUGGGCUACACGCGGGCUACAAUGGGUGGGACAAUGGGUAUCGACACCGAAAGGUGAAGGCAAUCUCCUAAACCCAUCCGUAGUUCGGAUUGUGGGCUGCAACUCGCCCGCAUGAAGCUGGAAUCUGUAGUAAUCGUGUCUCAAAAUGGCACGGUGAAUAUGUCCCUGCUCCUU
rnacentral:rRNA from 1 species